GACGAACGCUGGCGGCGUGCUUAACACAUGCAAGUCGAACGGAAAGGCCCUGCUUUUGUGGGGUGCUCGAGUGGCGAACGGGUGAGUAACACGUGAGUAACCUGCCCUUGACUUUGGGAUAACUUCAGGAAACUGGGGCUAAUACCGGAUAGGAGCUCCUGCUGCAUGGUGGGGGUUGGAAAGUUUCGGCGGUUGGGGAUGGACUCGCGGCUUAUCAGCUUGUUGGUGGGGUAGUGGCUUACCAAGGCUUUGACGGGUAGCCGGCCUGAGAGGGUGACCGGCCACAUUGGGACUGAGAUACGGCCCAGACUCCUACGGGAGGCAGCAGUGGGGAAUAUUGCACAAUGGGCGGAAGCCUGAUGCAGCAACGCCGCGUGCGGGAUGACGGCCUUCGGGUUGUAAACCGCUUUCGCCUGUGACGAAGCGUGAGUGACGGUAAUGGGUAAAGAAGCACCGGCUAACUACGUGCCAGCAGCCGCGGUGAUACGUAGGGUGCGAGCGUUGUCCGGAUUUAUUGGGCGUAAAGGGCUCGUAGGUGGUUGAUCGCGUCGGAAGUGUAAUCUUGGGGCUUAACCCUGAGCGUGCUUUCGAUACGGGGUGACUUGAGGAAGGUAGGGGAGAAUGGAAUUCCUGGUGGAGCGGUGGAAUGCGCAGAUAUCAGGAGGAACACCAGUGGCGAAGGCGGUUCUCUGGGGCCUUUCCUGACGCUGAGGAGCGAAAGCGUGGGGAGCGAACAGGCUUAGAUACCCUGGUAGUCCACGCUGUAAACGGUGGGUACUAGGUGUGGGGUCCAUUCCACGGGUUCCGUGCCGUAGCUAACGCUUUAAGUACCCCGCCUGGGGAGUACGGCCGCAAGGCUAAAACUCAAAGGAAUUGACGGGGCCCCGCACAAGCGGCGGAGCAUGCGGAUUAAUUCGAUGCAACGCGUAGAACCUUACCUGGGUUUGACAUGGAUCGGGAGUGCUCAGAGAUGGGUGUGCCUCUUUUGGGGUCGGUCCACAGGUGGUGCAUGGCUGUCGUCAGCUCGUGUCGUGAGAUGUUGGGUUAAGUCCCGCAACGAGCGCAACCCUUGUUCACUGUUGCCAGCACGUUAUGGUGGGGACUCAGUGGAGACCGCCGGGGUCAACUCGGAGGAAGGUGGGGAUGACGUCAAGUCAUCAUGCCCCUUAUGUCCAGGGCUUCACGCAUGCUACAAUGGCUGGUACAGAGAGUGGCGAGCCUGUGAGGGUGAGCGAAUCUCGGAAAGCCGGUCUCAGUUCGGAUUGGGGUCUGCAACUCGACCUCAUGAAGUCGGAGUCGCUAGUAAUCGCAGAUCAGCAACGCUGCGGUGAAUACGUUCCCGGGGCU
rnacentral:rRNA from 1 species